rnacentral:rRNA from 1 species
GAACGCUAGCGGCAGGCUUAACGACAUGCAAGUCGAGGGGCGAGCGGGAUGUAGCAAUACAUUGCCGGCGACCGGCGGAUGGGUGCGUAACGCGUAUGCAACUACCUUAUACAGGGGAAUAACCUUCGAAAGGGAGACUAACACCCCAUGGUAUUGAUUUAAGGCAUCUUAGAUUAAUUAAAUAUUUAUAGGUAUAAGAUGGGCAUGCGUAUGAUUAGCUAGUUGGUAAGGUAACGGCUUACCAAGGCGACGAUCAUUAGGGGUUCUGAGAGGAAGGUCCCCCACACUGGUACUGAGACACGGACCAGACUCCUACGGGAGGCAGCAGUGAGGAAUAUUGGUCAAUGGGCGCAAGCCUGAACCAGCCAUGCCGCGUGCAGGAAAAGACGGCCUUAUGGGUUGUAAACUGCUUUUACAUAAGACUAACCGUAUAUUUGCGAAUAUACCUGAAUGUAUUAUGAGAAUAAGGAUCGGCUAACUCCGUGCCAGCCGCUGC